rnacentral:rRNA from 1 species
UACGUAGGUGGCAAGCGUUAUCCGGAAUUAUUGGGCGUAAAGAGCUCGUAGGCGGUUUGUCGCGUCUGCCGUGAAAGUCCGGGGCUCAACUCCGGAUCUGCGGUGGGUACGGGCAGACUAGAGUUGGAUAGGGGAGCUGGAAUUCCUGGUGUAGCGGUGAAAUGCGCAGAUAUCAGGAGGAACACCGGUGGCGAAGGCGGGACUCUGGGCCGAUACUGACGCUGAGGAGCGAAAGCGUGGGGAGCAAACAGG